rnacentral:misc_RNA from 1 species
UCUGUAGAAACAAGAUAACGAUUAUGAAUAAGAGAGAAACAGCGGUACCAUUUUUGGAGCCGGGAGUGCCCAAGGAAGACACAUUUGAGAGAUUUUGGAUCCAAUUUAGUAACCUGUAAACGAACAUCACGCACAAAACAGGUGCAACAAAAAAUAAGGAGUUCAACAGGGAACAAAUAUUUUAUAGGAAACAAAGCAGUAUAAGGAA